ACCCUCUACUCAGUGCUGGGGAUUUUUUUUUACACUGCCCCAACUUCCAGGUGUUCACAGUCUAGUGGAGAGGCAAAUGCUCAGUCUUCUACAAUCUAGGCAGUGACUGACGGGCAGAAUGAACACAGUGGAGUGAGAUCAGAAUGGAGCGUAGAGGACAAAAUGCUGUCUGAACAUUGAGCAGUGGCCGCAAAGGUGAUCUUUAGUACUUCUGACAUGUACAAACAGAACUCCUGGCAUAGCAAUUAGAAGAUAUAGCUUUAAUGCACAAUAAAUAUUGAAUCUUGUCUUAUAAAUGCUCUCUCCCUUUCUCUUCCUUGUUACUAUAAGUGUUGUUCUUCAGUCAUGUCCAACUUUUUGCAACUCCAUGGACCGCAGCGCAGCAGGCAUCCCUGUCCUUUACCAUCUCCCAGAGUUCACCCAAACUCAUGUCCAUUGAGUCGGUGAUGCCAUCCAACCAUCUCAUCCACUGUCGUCCCCUUCUUUUGCCCUCAGUUUUUCCCAGCAUCAGGAUCUUUUCCAAAGAGUCAGUUCAUCGCAUCAGGUGGCCAAAAUAUUGGAGCUUCAGCAUCAGUCAUUCCAAUGACUCUUCAGGGUUGGUUUCCUUUAGGAUUGACUGGUCUGAUCUCCUUGCAGUCCCAGGGACUCUCCAGAGUCUUCUCCAGCAUGACAGAGUUCAAACGCAUCAAUAAAUAAAUAUAAAUCAGUCAUCUCUAAUUUGUCACCGAGUCAUUUUCAUUCCUCUGGUCUGCCUUAUUUCUAGCCCAUUUUCUCAGAAGGUAAGCAGGUUACUCAGCUAAACAGUCGCUGGGGGAAUGACUUCAAAUUGUUUUCUUGGAAAUGGGAAGCUUGGUUUGGGGAAAAAGUCAUCUCUGGGAACCAUCCAGCCCUCCUACCUUUCUCUCUGUCUCCGCUUCCUUCCCUGCUCCUCCUCUCUUCCUCUCCCCCCCUUCCAAGCUGCUGGUGGCUUAGCCGUCUUUGACUACCUGAGGGCACCCCAGCUGACUAGAGUAAGGACCUACUGAGUACUCUCUUGUUCUGAGCCCAUGGGAGAAUCCUUAAAUUUCUCCUUGUAAUGCUCUCAUAUUGGAACUAGGGGAUACGAAAAACAAAAGUGCAUGUUAACCUGUGUAAGGAAAAUUCCACAGUUUGUCAUAUAUGGCAAUGAAUCGUGUGGGUUUAGGUAUCGACCAGACUUUAUUUUAAAUGAUAAACAAAUGAGAAAUGAAACUAUGCUGGCCAGCAGGUCUUGGUUCCAAGAAGACUUUCGAUUUCUAAAUGUUCUGCUUCUCUUUAAGAUAAAAUGUUUGAACUACUGGCCAUUGGAACUGCACUUCUCUGACCAUGUCUUCAGAAGCAAAGAUGCUGGCCUGACCUUCCUCAUCGCCUCUGAGGAGCAGCACUGCUGGGGAGACCUGGCGGUCUCUAAGGAGCACUCCCACAACGCUUACAGAGAGCUGCAUCCAUCUCAGGGGAAAGAACGCCAGGACUCUCGAACAGCUGUGCUCUGGCCAAGGGCAAAGAAGGGAUCCACACCAGCAGAAAGGACGCAUUUCCUCCUUCAUGGGCCUCGCAUGGAGAGCGUUCAAUUUGGUAUUUAGAUAUAAUGGAGUUGCUGUUUGGUUGCUCUGUCGUGUCUGACUCUUGAGACCCGUGCACUGUAGCCCACCUGGCUCCUCAGCCCAUGGGAUUUUCCAGCCAAGAAUACUGGAGUGGGUUGCCAGUUCCUCCUCCAGGGAAUCUUCCCAACCCCAGGAUCAAACCCAGGUCUCCAGCAUUGGCAGAUAUCAGCCCUGAUGUACGUGUCUCGGUUCGGUCCUGGAUCUCCCGUACCUACAGCAACAUCCGUGAAGAUGAUGUCCAAAAUUGGCACACCGCAAGCUAGUUGGAUUAAGAACAUCCUGGAGAACACUGAUGUGCUGUCUUAGUAGGAAUUCCUGUGACAGUGUCCUUUUGGGAGCUGCCACUGUCAAGCAAACAACACUCCACAGUAAGAUGGUUUUCCUUUGGUCUUUGGCGUGUCCGUGCAUGCUCAGCCAUGGCCAAUUCUUUGUGACUGUAUGGACUGCAGCCCACCAGACUUUUCAGUCCAUGGGAUUUUCCUGGCAAAUAUUCUGGAGUGGGUUACCACUUCCUUCUCCAGCUUUGGUCUUUGGACUGUUCCCUAAGUACAUGGAAACCUGUAUGCCUUAAAUAUAAAGCCGACUGUUGCAACUCGAUUAUGAUGUAGUGGUCUGAGUAGGUGUCUAGGCUACAUUUGAAAAUUAAAUGUAGCCAUAUUAAUCUUUUAAAGGACUUUGGGGUUGCUUACACGUGAUUGCCCUCCCAUCUCCACCCACACACACGUAUCUCCUAUUUAUUUCAGGGAAUUGGCUCAUGUCAUAUGAGAUUGUGGAGCUGACAGGUUUGAAAUGUGUAGGGUAGGCUGGAAACUCUGAUAGAAAUUGCUGCUGCAACAUUGAGGCAGAGCGUGUUCCUUCUCUGGGAAGCUGCAGUCUGGCUUUUAAGGCCGUCCGACUGAGUGAAU
ensembl:lncRNA